rnacentral:lncRNA from 1 species
CAUUUUUAGGGGUGAAAUUGUAAUUUUCAUUUUGGGGGUAAAAUGGUCAUUUUUUAAGUUUCCGUUAGUUUUCUUAACGGAUUCCAACCGGAAGUGGAAAAGUGGAAUAAAAUGUAACUUUAUGUGGAUUUCAGUAAAAAAAAAAAAAGAAUUGUCACUACUAGAAAAUAGGCAAUAGAUGACGGAAAAUAAUUGUCAUAAAAUGGGGUGCAUGACAGACAAUCUAUCCAUCAUCUAUGUCAUUGUCAUUAAUUUGGGAAAAAACAAGUGGAUGAUGGAUAUUUUCCUUACUGAUAAUGAUCUAAUCAUAGAUAAAUCUAGUAACAAUUUACAUGAAUUCAUAAGUUAUAAAUAUUGUUAUUUCUUUUGACAUCAUAAACAUUGACUUGUUCAGUUUUACUUGCAGUCAUUUUUUGGCUUAGAGGGAUGCACAUGAUUAGUCUUGCAUCAUUGGUUGAAGCCUUUCUAUCUUUUACUUUAAGAAUAAUGCUUGAAUGAAAACAAUUUGAACUUGUUUUGGCUGUCAUUUCAUUUUUUUUUAUCUAACCACCGUAUGGUUUUUGGCACUUUAGAGAGAGCUAUUGCUUGGUCAUUGACGAAUCCUUUAUUCAUGUUAUUGAAAUUUUAUUUAAUGUAUUUAGCAAAAGGAAUGAUGAUAGAUUCUUUCUUCUCAUUUGAUGGAUUUUGCAUAAGGGAAUACAUUGAAGGCUCUAUCAUAAAAAAUAUGCAUGUAUUUCAUCUUAUUUUCAUUGUUGCAAUUGUUCAAAAGUUAUGUCAAUCAAAAUAAUUACAUUUAUAUUUAUCAAUUACUCUAGUCAUCAAUCUCCAUUGUCUUUAAAAAUUGAUGUAUUAUAGUUCUUAUAUUUGUGGUAUUUUCUUCAAAUGAUGUAAUUUAAUAACGCCUCAGCCAAUUUUUUUAUGAUUGAAAAUUUAAUUAUUAAAGAGAAAUAUCGUUAAAACAACCCUAGACUGCCAGAGUACACAGUCACGAGUGUACUUAUGACAAGGAAAAUCCAACAAUUGGAGUUCUUGCUUUAGUUUUGGGUGGAGAAUAUUGAUAGUUUAAGGUGGGAGCAUAACAAGUGCCAUGAAACCAUUUUUGGUAGCUACUGUAGCUUCGGUAGUAAAAGUCAGCAUGUUGCAACCUCCCGAAGGGCAUAGAUGGGUCCAUUAAGCGAAGACACUACUAUCUAUUAAACAACAAUAAAUUCAAAAAUCAGUAGCAUUUCUUGUAUAACCAUGACACUAAUUGUGAGCAUAGUAAAUGUGAUCCCUAUACUCUUAAAGUCAAAUUCAUUUUAAUCUAGAAAAAAAACUAAAAUUAAAAAAACUGUAAAAUCUUAUAAACAAGUCAUGUCUAUGCCAAAAUAUGUUCUAACCAACUUUUAAACAAUAUAACCCAACAAAAAUAACUAGGCCAACAAGAUGAAUCUCUAAACAUCUAGAGAACUUUCAACAAACUAAAUUUAGUUUACACUUUCUCUUAAAAUCUCAAAACAAUGAUUUAAUACUAAGGCCAAAUUUGAUUCAUCACAUCUCCAUUUUUAAAUAGGAUUUGUCAUAUUCAACCAAUGUAUCAAAAUUAUCUCAAGCAGUAGUACAUAACUACCAAUAUUUAUCACUGUCAACUAUAGGGUUGAUUUUGUUUACUAUUCAUUAAGGUUUGGACCAUAGCCAACAAUUACCAAAUAAUUUAAAGGACAAAGGAGUAGUAUAGCACAACCAGCAUCCUAAAGACUCACUUUUGUACUAGAAAAUGGAUUGUUGCUAUAAUUUGGGUUGAAGCCGUCUCUCUGUUUCCUACUAGGGUGCCUCAGGGAGGACCACAAUGCUUUUCCCAACCAUGGUGACUGGAGCAAGUGAUGUGGCGGCUAGGGUUUUCAAAAUGGUAAAGUUUUGUUUUUUUAUUUUUAUUUUUUUGAUUUUUUUUGUGAUGGAUUUGGUGUGGAUGGGUAUGAGGUAUCUAAGAAAACUGUGCAAUUCGCACCAAUAAAUAUUCUAGAAUCCUAAAUUACUUAAAAUAACAUAAAUUAACUUCCUACAUCAUCAAGCAAAGACUGGGAGCUGUAAACUAUUCAUACAAUGGUUUGACCCAGGUCAUUGUGGAGGAUGAUAUAUACUACAUAUAUUGAUCAUGAAGUAGGUCAACAUACUGAUAUGGGUGCCAACAUUUCUGUCUCUUUCCCAAACAUCAUCAACCACCCACCCCACCCCACACACAUAUCAUCACUAUUAGUUUGGUUAGAAACAAACAAAUUCCAUCAUAUGGUUCAAUCACUAAAAAGACAGGUCUCUAAGCAGACAUUAAUAACCUGAUAUUAUUGAUAAAUUAUAUAAAAUAAUUAAUAUAGAAGUCUCACUCUAAGUUCAUAUUGUGGCACCAUUUCCCAUCCAAAAUUUGGGUGCUAAUGCUAUAUAUGUGUACUAAGAAUAAUAACAUGCAUGCUUGAAAUGCAAGCUAGCCUAAGGCUUUCCAAUUCACAGAAAGCUAUAUUGCAUAUAAAUCUAAACCAUUAUGAUAUGUAUAUAUUGCAUUAUUUUGCAAUCAAUAUGUUUUGUUGUCAAUGAUUGAUAAUUAUAUUUAAUUUCUUCAUGUAUAGCGUUAUAUGAAAAUGGUUCCCUUUAAUUCUACAUUCCUAAAUUUGUCAAGCACAUUCCCUUGAAGCUUUUCCUUAUGGCUAGCUACAAAGGAAACCUACUCAAUUCUUUAACUUAAAUCAAGAAUACUCGUUUCUUCAAAUUAAUCAAAUUGAGUAAAACCAACACAAUUAGUUAAUUAGCCUAAUUAAUCAUCUCUACUGAAACAUAUGAAAAGAAUUGAAAAUCAUACAUAUGUUUAGUAGUUCGUUCGUAAUAAAAAGGGUGUUAUUUUUUACAUGAUCAGCGACAAGUUCUAGAUUGUUCAAACGAAAAAAAAAAUUGAUUGAUUUUCACAAAGCAAAAGAGAAUUCAAGCAUUUAUAAGACAGACUAGAAAAUAUACGAUGGUAAAGGAAGAUUGUUUUCAAUGAAAUAAAGAGAAGUUGUCAAAGUUUGUUGCCACUGAAAUGGACAAAAGACAAAGCCAUCAAGGAGCUCACGAAGUCAUAAAGUAAGAGAAAUAGAAAAAUAAAAAAGCUUUUUAUUUGAAUUUGUCUGCUACACACACAUUAGGUAGAAAUAAAUCUUAAAAACUAUUAUAUGGAAAAAGAAUUCAAGUUUUUAUACUUACACAUAUUAAGCUAAAUGCAGGCCGUCUCAUGGCAUUGAUCGUCUCCUCAGCUAGCCGAUCGCCCAAGUUCGUUGCCUAGUCAUCAUUGUUUGUCAUUAUCGUCAUUGAAUUUGUUGUUGUCGUACCAAUGCAGGUGAGUUGUGUUGAAUUUGUUUUCUUAUUUAUUGUUCUUUAUUUUUUUCUCUUAAUUAUGUUUUUUUGAGUUAGGAUUAAUAUGCAGAUUAGGGUUUAAUUUUUGUAUGCACAUAGUUUAUCAGAUGAGAAGCUUGUUUGAUUUUUUUUUUGUUGCAAUUUUGUAUUUAGUUAAUGAAUAAAAUUAUGUCUUUAUGAGUUAGGAUUAGUAUGUAGACUAGGGUUUAAUUUUUGUUCAAUUGAUGCACAAAGUUUGUUGGUUGAGAAUUGAGAAGCUUGUUUAUUUUUUUGCAAUUUUGUAUUUAAUUAACGAAUAAAUGUGAUUACGUUUGGUUACUUUAUAAUCUUGGCCAACUCAUAAUUGUUUGUGCUGCUAAAAAAUUGUAUUUUAUUACAAUUUGUAGCUUGAUGAAUUUUAUUUAAAAGUAGCUUUGGCUGAUUUUUUCUCUUGGAUUAUGGUUGACAGUACGUGGCACUUGGCUGGAAGACCUAAGUUGUAAAGGCUGCCUGGCUUCAGACUGAGAAAGUCCAUGGAUAGAAUUGUUAGUAUCCAAGCUCUUCUAAAUGAGUUGUGUGUGUGAAAUGAAGUAAUACUUGUAGCCCCAAUGUUUUUAAACUGUAAAGCAUAUCAUGAUUAUGAUCGUUGUAGCCCAAAUUUGUGUAAAGUAUAUCAUUAUUAUGAUUGUUAUGCAUGUGGACGUAUAUCAUUUGAAUGUUGUACAAGGAUAUUAUUUGAGUUGAAGCUUUCUGUAAGUGUGAAAUAAGAAGGCUAAAUGGGAGAGAUUAAUUGCAGAGAGAAGUGGAGUCAGGAAGUGAAGCGAAUAGAACCAAAUCAAUUCCAACCAAACCGAAAUUUAGAACUGAACCAAAUCGAAUUGAAUUUGUUUGGUUUGGUUUUAAAUUUUGGUUAGUGUUCAGUUUAUGAACUAGACCGAAUUGGGCCUGAAUCGGAUAGUGCCUAGCCCUACUUUGUAUUUAUUUAAGAUUUCUACUAUAUUGAAUUAUGAUGAUUCUUAAAAGAAAAAAAAAUCAAAAUUUAUUUAUUUACAUUCGAGAGUGUUCAGGAUAAUGAGGAUGUAAUAGGACGAGAUAUUUAAUGGAAUAAGACUAAAACACAUUUUUAUUUCAAGAAAAUGUAAAAAAAUAAGAACGAAACAUUUUUUUUUUAUCUCACUUGCAUAUACAAGACAUGACUGAAAUUGGCAAGUCUUGUCCCUUCCUGUUCCAUUGUCAACCCUACAUAUGGCAAUAGAGUGUUUCUCAUGCUUUUGUUUUGAGUGCAAAUUCUUAGGGGUAAGCCCUGGCGUGUAUUUUUAUUAUUUGCAAAAAUUUCUUCGUCCAAUUUUACUAUAA